rnacentral:rRNA from 1 species
UACGUAGGGUGCGAGCGUUGUCCGGAAUUACUGGGCGUAAAGGGCGCGUAGGCGGCCCGCUAAGUCGAACGUGAAAUCCCCGGGCUCAACCCGGGAACUGCGUCCGAUACUGGCAGGCUUGAAUCCGGGAGAGGGAUGUGGAAUUCCUGGUGUAGCGGUGAAAUGCGUAGAUAUCAGGAGGAACACCGGUGGCGAAGGCGGCUUUCUGGACAGAUACCGACGCUGAGGCACGAAAGCUAGGGGAGCAAACAGG